rnacentral:rRNA from 1 species
CCUACGGGUGGCAGCAGUGGGGAAUAUUGGACAAUGGGGGGAACCCUGAUCCAGCGACGCCGCGUGAGUGAAGAAGUAUUUCGGUAUGUAAAGCUCUAUCAGCAGGGAAGAAAAUGACGGUACCUGACUAAGAAGCCCCGGCUAACUACGUGCCAGCAGCCGCGGUAAUACGUAGGGGGCAAGCGUUAUCCGGAUUUACUGGGUGUAAAGGGAGCGUAGACGGUGCAGCAAGUCUGAUGGGAAAAGUCGGGGACCAACCCCGGGACUGCGUGGGAAACUGGUGAACUGGAGUGGAGGAGGGGUAAGCGGAAUUCCUAGUGUAGCGGGGAAAUGCGUAGAUAAUAGGAGGAACACCAGAGGGGAAGGCGGCUUACUGGACUGUAACUGAAGUCGAGGCUCGAAAGCGUGGGGAGCAAACAGGAUUAGAUACCCGGGUAGUC